UACGUAGGGUGCAAGCGUUUAAUCGGAAUUACUGGGCGUAAAGCGUGCGCAGGCGGUUUUGUAAGUCAGAUGUGAAAUCCCCGGGCUUAACCUGGGAACUGCGUUUGAAACUACAAGGCUAGAGUGUGACAGAGGGGGGUGGAAUUCCACGUGUAGCAGUGAAAUGCGUAGAGAUGUGGAGGAACACCGAUGGCGAAGGCAGCCCCCUGG
rnacentral:rRNA from 1 species